rnacentral:sRNA from 1 species
UAUUUCCUUCAGAAAUAGCAUGGGAUCAUGCUCGGGAGAGAAGCUCCGGGCCCAGGGACUCCGCCUCCGCUCCUCCAGGCGCCCCUCUUCACUGUCUCUUCUGUGUGCCCUCUGCUUCUCCUGCCUCCAACCAGGUCUGGUUUCAAAACCGCAGGGCCAAAUGGCGCAAGCGGGAGAAGCGCUGGGGCGGCAGCAGCGUGAUGGCCGAGUACGGGCUGUACGGGGCUAUGGUGCGCCACUGCAUCCCGCUGCCCGACUCCGUGCUCAACUCCGCGGAGGGCGGCCUGCUGGGCUCCUGCGCGCCCUGGCUCCUGGGGAUGCAUAAAAAAUCCAUGGGGAUGAUAAGGAAGCCAGGAGGUGAAGAUAAGUUGGCAGGACUCUGGGGCUCCGACCACUUCAAAGAAGGUUCUAGCCAGAGUGAGUCAGGACCACAGAGAGGCUUGGAUAAAGUGAACUCUGAGAAUGGCUUGGAAGAUGUGGCUAUCGACCUCUCCAGUUCUGCCCGGCAGGAGACCAAGAAAGUGCACCCUGGGGCUGGUGCUCAAGGAGGCUCCAACU